rnacentral:rRNA from 1 species
CAACAGGGAUUGCCUCAGUAACGGCGAGUGAAGCGGCAACAGCUCAAAUUUGAAAUCUGGCUCCUUCGGGGCCCGAGUUGUAAUUUGCAGAGGAUGCGUCGGGUACGGGUGCCUUCCGAGUUCCCUGGAACGGGACGCCAUAGAGGGUGAGAGCCCCGUCUGGUAGGACACCCAGCCCGUGUGACGCUCCCUCGACGAGUCGAGUAGUUUGGGAAUGCUGCUCUAACGGGAGGUAUACUCCUUCCAAGGCUAAAUACCGGCUGGAGACCGAUAGCGCACAAGUAGAGUGAUCGAAAGAUGAAAAGCACUUUGAAAAGAGAGUCAAACAGCACGUGAAAUUGUUAAAAGGGAAGCGCUCGCUACCAGACUUGGGUUCGGCGGUUCAACCGGGGCCACGCCCCGGGGCAUUCCGCCGGCCCAGGCCAGCAUCAGCUUUCCGUCGGGGGUAAAGGCGUCGGGAAUGUGGCUCCCCUUCGGGGGAGUGUUAUAGCCCGUCGUGUCAUACCCUUCGGGGGGCUGAGGUACGCGCUUCUGCAAGGAUGCUGGCGUAAUGGUAGCUAGUGACCCGUCUUGAAACACGGACCAAGGAGUCAACCUUAUGUGCGAGUGCCCGGGCGUAAAACCCCAGCGCGGAAUGAAAGUGAACGUAGGUGAGAGCUUCGGCGCAUCACCGACCGAUCCUGAUGUCCUCGGACGGAUUUGAGUGAGAGCAUAUAGGGUUGGACCCGAAAGAAGAUGAACUAUGCGUGUGUAGGGUGAAGCCAGAGGAAACUCUGGUGGAGGCUCGCAGCGGUUCUGACGUGCAAAUCGAUCGUCAAACAUGCGCAUGGGG